rnacentral:misc_RNA from 1 species
GAUGUCUGCCUUUUCUAGCUGCCAGUUCUGAUGUAUCUUGGUCCGAUAUCUUUAAAGUUUGGACUAGAUUUCCAUUUGACGACUUAACAUUGUUGCUUGCAUUGGAUGACAGCUCCGCAUGCCGAGUAUUGAUUACACCAGGUGCCAUCUCCUGCUGGUCAAUGUUAAUCUCAGCUCUAGAAGGCAGUGGACAUGAGUGAGGAAUGUCAUAUUGGAGUUCUGAAGAGAAAACCUCAUCAGAAAAGCCAUCUGACAAGGUAUUCUGAUAUGCUUCUGAUACAUUCUCAUCCAACGAUGUUCUUGGUUGCUCUUGGAAGCUAUUGU